rnacentral:rRNA from 1 species
CCCUUAGAUGUUCUGGGUCGCACGCGCGCUACACUGAUGCAUUCAACGAGUCUAAAACCUGCUCUGAUAGGGGUGGGUAAUCUUUUGAAUGUGCAUCGUGAUUGGGAUAGAUGAUUGCAAUUUUUCAUCUUCAACGAGGAAUGCCUAGUAAACGCAAGUCAUCAGCUUGCAUUGAUUACGUCCCUGCCCUUUGUACACACCGCCCGUCGCUCCUACCGAUUGAAUGAUCCGAUGAAUAUCAUGGAUUGAGGAUGCAAGCAGGUUCGCCUGUCUUCAUCUUCGAGAAGUGAAGUAAAUCUUAUCAUUUAGAGGAAGGAGAAGUCGUAACA